rnacentral:rRNA from 1 species
UACGGAGGGGGCUAGCGUUGUUCGGAAUUACUGGGCGUAAAGCGCACGUAGGCGGACUGAAAAGUCAGAGGUGAAAUCCCAGGGCUCAACCUUGGAACUGCCUUUGAAACUAUCAGUCUGGAGUUCGAGAGAGGUGAGUGGAAUUCCGAGUGUAGAGGUGAAAUUCGUAGAUAUUCGGAGGAACACCAGUGGCGAAGGCGGCUCACUGGCUCGAUACUGACGCUGAGGUGCGAAAGCGUGGGGAGCAAACAGG